rnacentral:pre_miRNA from 1 species
UGGUGAGGCCGAGCCUAGCCAUCGGCGAGGCUCGGCCUCACCAGAUCUGGUGAGGCCGAGCCUUGCCAGUGGCCAGGCAGGCCUCGCUG